rnacentral:rRNA from 1 species
UACGGGAGGCAGCAGUGAGGAAUAUUGGUCAAUGGGCGCGAGCCUGAACCAGCCAAGUAGCGUGCAGGACGACGGCCCUAUGGGUUGUAAACUGCUUUUAUGCGGGGAUAAAGUGAGGGACGUGUCCCUUAUUGCAGGUACCGCAUGAAUAAGGACCGGCUAAUUCCGUGCCAGCAGCCGCGGUAAU